rnacentral:rRNA from 1 species
CGCCAGACUCCUACGGGAGGCAGCAGUGGGGAAUAUUGCACAAUGGGGGAAACCCUGAUGCAGCGACGCCGCGUGAGUGAAGAGGUAUUUCGGUAUGUAAAGCUCUAUCAGCAGGGAAGAAAAUGACGGUACCUGAUUAAGAAGCCCCGGCUAACUACGUGCCAGCAGCCGCGGUAAUACGUAGGGGGCAAGCGUUAUCCGGAUUUACUGGGUGUAAAGGGAGCGUAGACGGUGAUGCAAGUCAGAAGUGAAAGCCCGGGGCUCAACUCCGGGACUGCUUUUGAAACUGUGUGACUGGAGUGCAGGAGAGGUAAGCGGAAUUCCUGGUGUAGCGGUGAAAUGCGUAGAUAUCAGGAGGAACACUAGUGGCGAAGGCGGCUUACUGGACUGUAACUGACGUUGAGGCUCGAAAGCGUGGGGAGCAAACAGGAUUAGAUACCCCGGUAC